rnacentral:rRNA from 1 species
GGUUAAGCGACUAAGCGUACACGGUGGAUGCCCUGGCAGUCAGAGGCGAUGAAGGGCGUGCUAAUCUGCGAUAAGCGCCGGUAAGGUGAUAUGAACCGUUAUAACCGGCGAUACCCGAAUGGGGAAACCCAGUGUGAUUCGUCACACUAUCAUUAACUGAAUCCAUAGGUUAAUGAGGCGAACCGGGGGAACUGAAACAUCUAAGUACCCCGAGGAAAAGAAAUCAACCGAGAUUCCCCCAGUAGCGGCGAGCGAACGGGGAGGAGCCCAGAGCCUGAAUCAGCAUGUGUGUUAGUGGAAGCGUCUGGAAAGGCGCGCGAUACAGGGUGACAGCCCCGUACACAAAAGCGCAUAUGCUGUGAGCUCGAUGAGUAGGGCGGGACACGUGGUAUCCUGUCUGAAUAUGGGGGGACCAUCCUCCAAGGCUAAAUACUCCUGACUGACCGAUAGUGAACCAGUACCGUGAGGGAAAGGCGAAAAGAACCCCGGCGAGGGGAGUGAAAAAGAACCUGAAACCGUGUACGUACAAGCAGUGGGAGCCCCACCACUAAGCCAGUGGUGAACUCCACAUACGCAUCCUUUGCUGAGGAUACGGUUAACGGAGCGAAAGCGACGUUCAACCUCAAAAGAAGCAGAGGGGGCUUAGUGGUGGGGUGACUGCGUACCUUUUGUAUAAUGGGUCAGCGACUUAUAUUCUGUAGCAAGGUUAACCGAAUAGGGGAGCCGGAGGGAAACCGAGUCUUAAUUGGGCGUUAAGUUGCAGGGUAUAGACCCGAAACCCGGUGAUCUAGCCAUGGGCAGGUUGAAGGUUGGGUAACACUAACUGGAGGACCGAACCGACUAAUGUUGAAAAAUUAGCGGAUGACCUGUGGCUGGGGGUGAAAGGCCAA